AAGGCUAUACUUUCAGAGAUGAUUUCUAGCGUUCAUUAUUAGAGAACUUUCUCUGAUCGUGUAGGACACCUGAAACCAUGGAGAGGACCCUGCACAUCUUCUCCUGAGCACAAAGCCAGUCCUCGGUGUUGCUUUUGCAACUGCCUUUUACCACUAAUGAUUAUUCUCGUCUUCCCUUGGGAGAGGGAGAGGAAGAAGAUGCCGUCUAAGUGG
ensembl:snoRNA U3 Small nucleolar RNA U3